rnacentral:snRNA from 12 species
CAGGGGGGUGAGCAUGGGAGUCACCGCUCCCUCGGGGUAAGCACGGCAGAGGCCCUCCAUGAUGGUGUGGGAGACUCCAUGCAAUGCGGCUAUAUGGAGUGGGAGUAUGGU